rnacentral:lncRNA from 1 species
AGGAGGCAAGCUGGAGCGUGCAAAUGAUCUAUGUUGUUACAUUGGUUAAGUGAAUUUGAAAUGUAAUGUCUGUUGGUUCCUAAAUGGGAAAUAUGCUUCAAGGUAUGCUCUGAACACUAUCAGAUACAUGAAUCCUUAAAGAGUCUCGAGUCUUGAAUCCAACAGUACUCUCUUUUCAGUAUACUGGACAUGUAUCAUACAGCGUCAUUGGAAGCUUCCCUUUAAUUGACUUGCGAUAAUGACUAAUUGAAUUGUGAAUGCCUUCAGAGCGUGAGGAAAUUCUUACUUUUUACUUGUUAGACAUUCUUAGGCAGCUAUUAGUUUGUUAUCUUUAUUCGUGCCAUAACAGAAUACUUUCAACUACAUACCAAACAGAUGAGGGCUAAAUUACGUCUAGUCAACUAGAAAAAACUGUAACUGUAAGGUAUCAUCGUUCGACGACGAUCAGAGUGUACCCGGAAACCAAAUGGAAAAACAGGCUCCACUCUCCGUUGAACUGAAUCAUUAGCCCGAUUUUAAUUUUGGACUGCAUGAUUAGAGGAGGAAAUCUGAUGUGAUACUAGAUACAAACAUACACAUCUGAUUUAUCCUAUUUUGGAUUGCACUAGCCUUCUUGCGGGCCAACAAAAAAUAUUUUUCCAAGUUUUGAGGAUUGCAUGAUCCAUGCAUUUGUCGAUUUAUCCUCAUACUUGAAGUAAAUUAUCCUCAUUCUUUUGGUAAAUAAUCCUCACAGCUAGUAUGAAACGGCUGUCAUGGAAUGAACAAAGUAAAAAAUCAGAUAUUAUCAUGCUAUUUAAAUGGAUCAGUAUCACAACCCAAACUAACAUCCGCAUACAAAGUACAAAUUAUAAGAGAAAGUUCUGAAAAAAGUAACGCUUCCUUCAAUGUCAUAACUCAUAGUAAUUACUAAUUACCCACCUCAUACCUUCCCUUUCAAUACAAUCUUUCAUUCACAGUACUCCUCGCAUAUAAAACCCACAUUCAUCCUGCCAAUAUAUUCAGAUCAAGCAAAAAAGAAAACCAUGGCAGCGGAUCCAAAGCAAGGAGCUAUAGUGAAGACGGGCCACGGAGAAGUAAUGAAGAUGGUGGUAUUGCUCCUUGGAGAGUUCGAGCUCCCCGAAGGGCUGCUGCCGUUGGAAGCUGCAAUAGAGACAGGGUACAAUAAGGAAACUGGCUAUUUUUGGAUCGUGCGGAAAAAGGCAGUAACGCAUGAGUUCAAGAUAAUUAGCAAGCAGGUCAGUUACGACUCAGAGAUUACUGGCUACAUUGAGAAAAAGAAGGUGAAAACGCUAAAAGAUGUCAAGGCCAAGGGGGUUGUUAUUGUGGCCUCCGGUGAACGAGAUCAUUGCAGAUGAUCCCCCACCGAAAAGGGACCAUUGGUGGUAUUACCAAGACUUUCCCCGUCGAGGCAUUUGCCGCCAGCCAGUUGCUUAGUAUAAUGUUCACGUUCAUUUUGCUACUUGUUUGCCUACAUAUCUAAUUUACUGUUGUUCUCCAGCAUCUUGGUAUACUUAAAUUAGUAUCUUGUAGGCCAUGUUUCUUCUUUAAUUGUCCCGCUACUGGAAAUAAAAUGGAUGGUGUUUGACCAAAAAUUGGAUUUUUACCCUGACCACAUGGGUAUUUAAUAGUUAGCUGGGUUAAUAGUUAGCUUAGCAUAAUAGGGAAUUAAUGGUGGUUUGUUGAUAUUACCAAUUGCAAGCUACAAAGAGAACAUGGAUCAACUCACUUUAAUAUAAAUGGGUGAUAAUCCACAUGGCAGGGUGUAAUUAGAACAAAAAUAAUGAAUUCACAAGGUGAUGUGUUUACGUCUUAACAAAAAAAAAA